UCCCUGCUAGCUCAGUGGUAGAGCGCUUCACUAGUACCGACUGAAGUUCUAUGAAGAGGUCAGUCGUUCAAGUCGGCUGCGGGGAA